rnacentral:lncRNA from 1 species
CUUAUGCCACUCUUCGGUUUGGGCUCUACACGAAGUGGCAGUGGAACUGAUGCUGGUGAAGUGUCUGCCAAGGUUGCAGCUUUGUGUCAAUCAGUUAAGGUUACAUAGACAGACAUCGAGACAUAUAUAGCCUAGACCUACAGAGUGCUUAAGACAUAAAACCACACUAUGAUCAGAUUCGUAAACAGCACAGAAAAAGGAUAUUUUGAAUGCAGCAAAUGCCCUUUUCUCAGUGCGACGCAGGAGUCGUUCUGCAUCCUCUUCAGCUUCCAUCUGCUCCUUGAGGUAAAGUAGGUCAUCACUGUCCAAUGCUGCAAAAGCAAUCUCGAGAAAUUGAAC